AUAAUGUCUGUCAACUGUGAAAUGUCUCAAACGACUCCUUAAGUUAAACUCUGUCAGGGAAAAUUCUUGUGACAUUAGUCAUACUCUUGGCCAGAUUAAGUGAUCUGGGUGUAGCCAGUUAAUCUGACAAACUACACCCAGACCAGUUACACCCAGACCAGUUAAUCUGGUCAUAUGGAAGAUGCCUCAACAAACAGACACACCCUGCGUGUGCCUAAUAAAUACACAACAAACACAGGCAUCAGACACUGAUUUCUCACACUUCUGUCUCAGAUAAAACACUUUCGACACUGCAAAAAUGAGCGACCCCACGAGGCCUCAACCUGAUUUUGAGGAGGGACAAGAAGGACAAGGGCAAGGCUGCAGAGGUGGACGCGGAGGAAGUGGAGGAAGGGGUGGGGGUGGACGUGGUGGGAAGGGUGGACGCGGAGAUGGACCUGAUGAUGAGCGUGACAAUGGACAAGGAGGUGGACGAGGAGGUGGAGGUGGAGGUGGACGUGGACGUGGAGGUGGACAUUAAGAUGACCCCCACAUGGGCCUACAAAGAGAAGAAAAACCUCUACAGCCGGAUGACGAAAACUAAGUAACGCCUUGACAGGGACGAAGAUAAAUAGCUUGUGUAUCCAUUGUUUUACUAUUAUGGGCAAUAAAGACUAAGUGAAAUAAACA
rnacentral:lncRNA from 1 species